rnacentral:rRNA from 1 species
UCAAAUCAUCAUGCCCCCUUAUGUCUUGGGCUUCACGCAUGCUACAAUGGCCGGUACAAUGGGUUGCGAUACUGUGAGGUGGAGCUAAUCCCAAAAAGCCGGUCUCAGUUCGGAUUGGGGUCUGCAACUCAAAUCAUCAUGCCCCCUUAUGUCUUGGGCUUCACGCAUGCUACAAUGGCCGGUACAAUGGGUUGCGAUACUGUGAGGUGGAGCUAAUCCCAAAAAGC